GAAACUUUCUGUUCAACGCCAAUAAGAACCCUUGCUCCUCAAAACUCCCCCCUCUCUCGACCACCGAAGAAAACCCCAGAUUUUGAAACCGGACCCGUCGAAGGAGAGAUCCGCCUGAAGCACACCAUUCCGUCCUAACGAGGCACUGAGUUUGUAUCAAAACAUUAUACGAGCUACCGACUUCUUCACGUGGCCGAAAUCUCCAGGUGUCCUCUGGCGCGAUGUAUUGACAGAGAAUGCUCGAAAGGAGUUCGAAGACGCCCGAUUUGAGAAGGAUCUGGAAAUUGUUGCUCUGAUGUUUGGAGGGCCGGAUGUCUGCAGUCAGCUCUUGAUAAGCUUGUCAAGAAGCAAAAGCAGCAAAUUGAGGAUGAAAGCAAUGAAUCAAAUCGACGUUGAAGUUUUUUGGUAAUAAUUGGAUUAAAUUUUGAUUAUUUUGUUGAUUAAUUUUAGCGUCGAUUGAUUUUAUAUUCUUUACCUUAUUUUAUCUGAAAAUAUGGAUGCAGUCAUUUGUAAUAUUUUAGUUGUGAAAAUUUAAGCCUUAUGCGAGAACGGUGGGAGUCCGGUUACAGAAUUGGGGAUUUUUUGGAAGAAUCAUUUUUUUUUUAUUUAGUUUGUAAAUUUGAUAUUCUAUGCUAGUUGCUCUUCUAAAAUUUGCUAUCUGUUAUUUGCAUUUAUAUAUUUGUUCUCAUUGUCUUGAUCAUUUCUUAAAGGAUGAAUACUGUCCCACUUGUAGAAUAAGUAUAUAUUUGUGUUCGAUUAGAACAUCACAGCUUAAUUAUGUAUUUG
rnacentral:lncRNA from 1 species